rnacentral:rRNA from 1 species
GACGAACGCUGGCGGCGUGCUUAACACAUGCAAGUCGAACGGAAAGGCCCUGCUUUUGUGGGGUGCUCGAGUGGCGAACGGGGGAGUAACACGUGAGUAACCUGCCCUUGACUUUGGGAUAACUUCAGGAAACUGGGGCUAAUACCGGAUAGGAGCUCCUGCUGCAGGGUGGGGGUUGGAAAGUUUCGGCGGUUGGGGAUGGACUCGCGGCUUAUCAGCUUGUUGGUGGGGUAGUGGCUUAGCAAGGCUUGGACGGGUAGCCGGCCUGAGAGGGUGACCGGCCACAUUGGGCCUGAGAUACGGCCCAGCCUCCUACGGGAGGCAGCAGUGGGGAAUAUUGCACAAUGGGCGGAAGCCUGAUGCAGCACCGCCGCGUGCGGGAUGACGGCCUUCGGGUUGUAAACCGCUUUCGCCUGUGACGAAGCGUGAGUGACGGUAAUGGGUAAAGAAGCACCGGCUAACUACGUG